rnacentral:lncRNA from 1 species
GACUGGACACCUACGACAUCAGUAAUGUUGAUGGUUCUAACUUGCGUGUUACUCUAGCACCUGAUAACUCGGCAUGUGUGACAACCAGCUGCCUGGGUGAUAUAAACGCAGACUGUCCUGCAGAUCUGGCGAGAAAAUCUGGUAGUGAAACAGUGGGAUGCCUUAGCGAUUGUGCGGCCUUAAAUAGACCAGAAGAUUGUUGCACUGGUGCGUUUAAUACUACACAAACAUGCCAGCCAUCAAGGUCGGCAAAUUACUUUAAAGAAAAGUGUCCACAGGCUUAUGGCUAUGCUUUCCAUGAUCAAACUAGCACCUUCACUUGCUCUACCGGAACUAACUACAGAAUCACAUUCUGUCCGUGAAAAGUACUGAUUUUAAGUUGAUAUGUCAAGCGCAAACUAAAUAAACUGUGCUCUCACUUUUCUAGGUACUACAAUAAGAGAGCAAUAACAUUGAAUAAGUGAUGUAUACUGUUUUACCUUUACCGAUUGUCUCCGCAAUAUUUUAUACCUAUGCCUCUUUCCUUGUCUUCUUAUUUGUAAGAAUUUUAUUUUUGUUGGUUAAAUAUUGUUAUAAGAGUUGCAUAUAUACGCUCCCAAAUAAAAAAUAAUUAUAUAUCACUUUAUGUCAUACCAGAUAUCUUCUGAUCAAUUUAUCCAGGAAAUUUCUAAAUGAUAAAAUAUGAAAUAUAUAAAUAAUAAUUUUCUAAUAAUAAUACUAGACAUCACAUUUAUAUACGUUCACAUAUAAAAAUAACUAAAUGUUAAUCAUUUUAUCUGAUUAAAAAUAAAUGAGAUGAAUACCUAACCCUACCCUUCCCAGCAAAAGACAACAUGACGUAGACGUAGUGCAAAAGAAUAUUACGAGGAAAAAGGGUAAAAUGGCUAAUUCAUAACAAAGCUGCUUAAAAACUUGCAGUUUGGUCAUGGAGUUAAAAAAGCUUACAGUCAACUAAUGAAGUAUUAAAAAACUUGCAUAUUAAUAACUCCCGUUAACUCUGUUAAAAACAUAACGGAAAUAAGCUCAUUUUCAGAUAGAUCACUGGAUGAAGAACAACACUGCAAAUACAUCAUUCCAAACAUAAAAACCAUCCACCCCCCUGCAGUUACAAUAAUAAAGAGAAUUAUCAUCCCACCUUCAGUUACAGUCACAAAAAACUACCAUAUUACCAAGUUUACAGUGUCCAAAAAGCAACAUGUUCCCCAGUAGCAAAUUACAAAUAUUAAACUACAGUCCUGUUUUUCUUGGGACCUUGAAUUUUCUCACAGGAAGCUUUGGCCUUCCUCUUUUGCUGGUCCCAGCUUUAUGUGGUUGCAGCUUUGAAGGAGAUGGAGUCCCACCUGUGCCAUGUGUUGCUUGAACAUUUGGUGUAGGCAUCUGCAUUUUAAUGAAACAAACAAUUAAUACACUAGUUUGUGCAUGAAUUAAAGCAAUUGAAAGGAUAAAAUAACUUACAAAAACCAUUCUUUGGCUUCUUCUAGGUGUAGUUGGUGGUGGUGCACUAAGCACAUGCUCAGCCUCCAAAAUCUCAUCCAUAAGCUCAGCUUCCCCUGUCUCCCUUUCCCUCCCAACCCUCUCACUUUCUGCAGUUCUUUCAGCUUCUUCUUCAGUCAUUUGUCUCCUCUUUGGCAUCCUUUUUCUGACUGGCUUCUCCACAUAAUCAGCAGGCUUGUUAGGGCAUUUGCCUCUAGUAUGCCUUGUCUCUCUAUAGAUUGUGCAAUGCAUUACCCUCCCCAUCCUAGAGAAGUUUGGUCUUUGGGAUUGCUUCAUCCUUCCUCUAGCCCCCUCCCACCCUUCCCUCCUCCUCUGCCUUUUAGGCCUUCCCCUCAGCUGCUUCACAAAUGGUGGUGGGAGAACUGUGUCUCCCAUUGUCUCCUCCCAAAAGGGUUCCCCCCUCAGCACUUCCAAACAAAAUGAGUAAGUCCUCAUAUAUGUAUCUUUCUUGAACCAAUGUUCCACAUAGUCAACUGGAUCUUCUCUCAUUUUUUGAAUGGCACAAACAGAAUGAGAGCAAGGUAUGCCAGUUAACUCCCAUACUCUACAUGAACAAGUUCUUUCUUUCAAAUUACCACAAAAACCUACCCCCCUCCUUUUCACUUGAAAGUUAUCCUGACCAUCCCACAACACCCUGCACUCACUACUCUCCAAAACAGCUCUAUCUAACAUUUUUUUGGCUUUAGGCACAAGCACACAGUCUACAUCCCUCAUUGCAUCUCUCUUUUUAUGUAUCCUCUCCAUAAGCAUAUCAUGAAUUUCUGUAAGCAUAUCAGUUAAGGGCAUGUACCUUGUCUUGAGGAUCCAAGCAUUGAAGCACUCAGAGAUAUUGUUGUCAGUGCUUGCACAUUUGGAAUGAGUUGCAAAGUAUGCUUGAGACCAUACUUUGGGAUCCAGUUCAUUCAUCUUCUGAGCAGCCCCUUUGGAGUGCUUUUCAAGGUCCUUCAUUGCAGCCUUGAACUGAGCUGGAUGUGUGGAUGUACAAGCUCUCCAAAAUGCCACUUUGACAGCUUCACCUGGAUGCUUCUUAGACAAGUUGGAAGACAAAUGUCUAGCACAAAAUCUGUGCUCCACAAGAGGGAGAAAUUCCCUCACUGCCUUAUCCAAGCCCUACAACAAAGGUCAUAAAACCAAAACAAAAUUAGAUUCACAUAAAACACAAAGACAAAGCUGAUAAAUUAGUUGUAAGGUAAGAUAUUAACACCUUUUGUUGAUCUGAAAUUAGUGUAUAUCCAGUGCCAUCUCCCAACUCUAUAUCUUCAAUCAAUAGGAGUAAGAACCAACUCCAAGAAUCAUAAGAUUCAGACUCUACCACAGCCAUUGCAAAUGGGAACAUGCUGUCAUUGCCAUCUCUUCCAACUGCUGAAAGAAGCUGGCCACCUCACACAGAUUUGAGAAAGCAGCCAUCCAGACCUAUGAUUGGUCUACAUCCAGCCUUCCAACCCUUUUUCAGCUUGUCAUAACAGACAUAAAAUCUCUGAAAAUGAGGUGCAUCUCCCUCAUUCACCCUUGUUGUACAGAUCUUCACUGUGUUGUCCUUAUUUCCCCUCAAAAUUUCACCACCAACGUUCCUAACCCCAGCAUAGUGUUUUUUCAUCUCUUCCUCAACUUGACUUAAGGCCCUCUGUCUCACCCUACAACACUUAGCUUCACCAACUUCAACCUUCAAAGUAGUCCUGAAUUCUUCUUGCAUUUCUUUAAGCUUCCAACUAGGAUUUCUUCUUAUCCUAGGACCAUACAGAUCUGCUAGGUACUUGACAGUCACAAGCUUAUUUCUGUAUUGGUAGAUGCAGUUAUGCUCAUCAUUAACUGUCUUCAGCUGCCAACUUUUAUUCUCCUUCAAGUAUGAGAACCACAUCUUAAAGGGACAUCCUUUACUGCACACAACUUGGAUCCUCAGCUGGUCAUCCACACUGUACUUCAGUGGUCUCCCAGAUGCAAUAGAAAAGCUCCUAACUGCAUCUUUGACUUGUGCUUUAUCCCCAAAAGUAAGUCCUGGAACCCACUUAAUAUCUUUACCAUCAGUCUCCAUGUUAAAUACCUCUUUUACCCUUAAUUUUCUUUUUCUAACUCUUGGCUCAGCAUAUGCAACAUCACCAUCUGUCUCUUCACCACUAUCUGCACUCCUACAAUACUCUGAAUCAGUGUCUCCUUCACUGGCUUCAUUCUCAGGCCUCCCAACUCUUUCAAGUUGUUGUUGUUCAUGUCUCACUUCCUCCCUAAUCCUUCUACAAUCAUCAAGAUCAGAGCCACUCCCAUCCCCAAUUUCAUCUUCACUCUCACUUUUUUCACUCUCUUCUACAUAGUCUUCAUCAUCACUGUCUUCAUCAUCUACACCUUCUCCACCUUCAAAUCCUCCAAUUUCUGCACCCUCAAAUCCUCCAACUUCUGCACCCUCAAAUCCUCCAACUUCAUCAGCACCCUCAAAUCCUCCAACUUCAUCAGCACCCUCAAAUCCUCCAACUUCAUCACCUAUAUCUUCACCAGCCUCAUUCUCACACAACUCAUAAUCUUCCCCAUCCCCAUUCACAUGAUAAAGGUGUAGCCUAAUGACCCCAGCGGCUUUUGUUGCUACAUGAACUAUUUCCGGGAUUUGAUCAUCACUCACAAGCAGUUUGUACCCACCCCUUGGACUAACACCAUUACACAGAUAAUAUAACUUAUCAGAUUCUCCAACGACAAAAUCAAACAUAUUUCUUAUAUAGCUCACACUCAAUUUCUCAACAUCAACCUUAAUCCUUUUCAUUGUAUCCCUACCCACAUACUCUCUAACACCAGUUAAAUUAGGAGUAACAAACCCACCAUUAUAAAACAACACAAUUCGAACAGUCCUGUAUACACACAUAAUAUACAUACGAAUUUAGGGUUUAUCGACAAAAUAAAGAGGGUUUACUGAAUCAACAAGAGAAUUAGAGAGGAAACUUACUCCAUUAUGCACGAAAUCGAGAAAUCGUCGCCGGUGAGUAGUUCAGUUGAAUCGUCGUCUCCGCUUUCCCGCUCAAUCGCACUGUUGUCUGCUUAGAUAUGUAAUAAAAUGUGUUUUAAGUUUUAUUAUGCAUAUUUAGAUGUAAUUAGGCUUGGGUCGGGUCGAUGUAAGCUUGGGUCGGGUCGGGAUGACGGGUUUUUAACGGAGACGUUAAAAGUCAAAGGCACUUUAACGUUUGUGUAAGUUUCUGUUAGCACGGUCGUUCGAUUGAAUUUUUUUUAAAACAAAGUUAUGUGUUUGAGAUUUUUUUCAACUCCAUGACCAAACUGCAAGUUUUUAAGCAGCUUUGUUAUGUAUCAGCCAUUUUACCCUGAGGAAAAAUGUUGCACGCAUGGUAAUGCAAACAAAUAUAAUGUGGAAAAUUGUUGCACGCAUGAGAAUGGAAUGUGAAAAAGGAGUAUAUAGUUAUUAAAACUCGACAUUUCAAAUGAGCAAAGUAAAAAAAAAAGGGAAGGAGUACAAAUUAUAUUAUUUUUAAUUAUUUAAAUAUGAUAUAAUAUUUUAAUAAUAUUAAAAAGAUCUGGUAAAAUUAUAAUGCGUCGAUAUGCCAGUUUUUUCCAAACAAAUCCCACAGUUAACGUCCUCACUAAGUGAGCCGAUGCCAGUGGCGGAACCAGGAAUGAAAUUCAGGGGGGGCUCAAAUUUGUAAAGCACCGAUUGAAAUUUGGAUACCGAACCUCGAUACCACAUUCAUCAAAGGGAGACGGUCAUCUCUCUAGGUUGCACGUAUUGAUUGGUUAAAGGGUCUCAAAUAGAACGUUGUUCAAAGUGCAUUAACAUAAAUACAGCAGUAAGCAGUGACGUCGGAAAAAAAAUUGCCCUAUAGAAUAGCGAUUUUUUUGCGCCACAUAAGGACUGUAGACCUUCGAAAAAGCGUAAGUAAUCAGUUCCAAGUGACAUGGCUAUUCACUAUUCCUUUCCAAGAAGUCUCCUUCUCCAUGUGUGGCGUGAUAAAAUAAGGACCACUAAGGACCCAAUUUGUCCUUCUUCUCACAAAAACCCCAUUGCCGGAAAUAUUAAGCCUACUGAAGGCAGGGAGAGUCGGAGAGCAGGUUGCAGGCCCUGCGAGCUACGGGGAUUGGGAGACGGCCGGGAGGGAGAGCGCAGCUGAGCAGGUUGUGGCGAAUCCAUUCGCUACUAAAUGAAUUUAUCACAGUGAGAAGCUGAGUUAGGGUAGUGUCAAGUGUGUGCGUAUGACUUAUUCUGUUUGAAUGUAUUUGUUAAUAAAAAUCUCUUUAGAUUAAGAGCAAGUCCAAAGCAGAGAGAGAAAGAGAGUAUGUAUAAAAAUUUAUUAUAAUAUAUAGGAUAGAGCAAGGAGAGAGAUGUGCCUUAUAAAUAAAGCUUCAAGAGGUUGUCCUAAUAAUAUAAGGCAUGGCGUUGUUGGAUCAACAUUUUUUAUCAAAUGUCCUAACUUAUGAUUUUGGACAUGUUAUAAGGUAUCUCUUGAACUCGCUCUAAGUAUCCUAAAUUAUACAGACAUGAAUAAUUCAGCGGAAGCUGAAAAAAAAAUAUACACUGUUUUUAAGAGGUUAGGGAGGGUUCUAGCAUCCCUAGCCCCCCUCUGGUUCCGCCAUUGACCGAUGCUGUCAUUUUCUUGAAACGGUGAACGCGGUCUGCUUAGUGCUUAAAUUUCCGUCGCCUAACGGUCAAAAGUCCAGAUUCAUAGUCUCGUAUAUGCAUCACGAACUAACAAUCUUUUCAAUUAAUUUCCUGAUGUUAGUCGAUACUUGUUAUUAUAGCAUCCGUCAACAGAAUUGUAUAGUACUCCCUCGGUCCCAUCAGGAUGUUUACGUUCACUGUUUGCACGCAUUUUGAGGCUCUUAUAAAGUAUAGUUCAAAAAUAAUUUUUUUAAUUUUUCUUUUUUUGAAUAAAAGUUUAAACGUCAAACUUUUUUUCCGGAUUUUUUUAAAAAAUAAAUAUAUAAUGUAAGUAUACUUUAUCGGAGCCUUAAAAUGCGUGCCAAAAAGUAACGUAAAGAACCUGGUGGGACGGAGGGAGUAUAUCGGAAGAAUGCACAUGGUAUGCAUUUAUUUUAAUGUUUGUGUGAAAUAUAAUUUUAUAAUUUAUUUUCAAAUUUUUUCUGAAUAAAAAUUUAAUAUUAAAUUUUUUGUUCAGAAUUAGUUAUUAAUAAUAAGUUAUAAAGUAAUUUGUUAUAAAGUCAGAAUUUGUUAUUAUAAAGUUUAUCAAAAAAAAAUAAUAAUAAGUUAUAAAAGUAUUAAACUGUGUGUCGAACUAUAGAAAAAACCGUACAUAAAUAAAACGUUUAAGAUCUAUAUUUUCAAUUAAAAAAUUAAAACUAAUAUAUCAAAAUAUUUUUUACAUCUCAAAUUACAUAUGAAAACUCAAGAUUGUCAUUUUAAAACGAAAAUAAUAUAUGCCUAUGGUUUAGCAGCGGACCGAAUCAAUCCCGGAAAAUUCUUUAACAUGCAUUUUUGUUUAAAUAAAAAGGUUUUCAGGGAAUCCGCCAAGAGUGUCUCCUCCAAAUUAUUCCGACUAGAAAUCAUCAUAGCUGUUAAGCAAGCAUGGGACCCUGGUCCCUAGCCAUUAGGUGGACAACCUCGUUAGCUAGUUUUCUUAACAUGAAGUACUAAUCUAAUUAUAUCUCUCCUAUAUAUCAACUAUGCAUAAUUCAAAGCAUCUAAGACACUUCUUACUUGAAGCUGGUAAUGGGUGUUGUUCUGCAGCGCUUUCACAACUUGCAGCGAGUCGGUUUCAACUAGGGUUGGGACUUGGGUUUGGUAGCAUAUCUUUGAGCCAAGAGAGAGCCUCCUGCAAACGACAUUAUUUUUUCCAGUUAUUAACGAUUAUGAUCCGGAUCAUAUAGACUCAAAUAGUUUGGCUAGAGAAUUUGUAAGAAAUAAUUGAUGAGUAAUCAAUUAAUCGGACUGUUUAAAUGUUUUAUAUAAUAAAUAAAUAAUAUUUAAUAAUAUAAUCAGUUAUAAGUUAAUUAAUUUACUUAUAGAUAUGGUAACUUUCUUUUAUGACCAAAAUCUAAGGUUCCGCCUCAUCAAAUUUGUAAAAAAAGAUAGGUGAUUCCUUGAUAAAAUAAAAUAGAUACCUUAGAUUUUCGUGUAACAAUAUCGUGAAGAUAUGAAAGUGAAUUUUACGUCAUCAGAAAGAUAUGAAAGCGAAGAAUUAAAAUUAAUAUAAUCGAGAGUAUAUGUUCUAAGAUAAUUUCGGGGUGAGUCAGGAUCGAACCCCAGGAUCUUAAUCGAUGGAUUAUAAACUCUCUGAGCUAAAUUUUAUAAAAUUUAAGUACAAGUAUAACCGUAAGUUAGACACCGAAUUUUAAAUCGCGCCGGACGUCCGUAGAUGGUUUGGUUUGGAUUGGUUUCCGACGUGUUGGUUUAAGAAAUUGAUGAAUGAAGACCGAAUUGCACUCUUGUUGGCAAUUGUACCUUCGUGCAAUAGGAAGAGUUUAUUCUAGAUUAUCACCCAAUCAUUCUAAAUUUCUAAGAUAGAAUAAUCAAAAUUUAUUAAUUUUAAGAUCCUUAUAUUUUAUAGCAUAUUUUGGUAUAAUAUUUUAAAAUAUUUUUUAUUUAUUAUUUCCUCCGUCACUCUGGUUUUUUUGCAGGUAUUUUCAAUGUUUAAUACAUAUUUUAAGAUGUACUCCCUCCGUCCCAAUGAAUUGUAUACAGUUUCUUUUUUGGGACAUCCCACCAAUUGUAUACAUUUCAAAAUAGUAAAUUUUUAUAAUAUAAAACAUCAAUACACCAACUACAUUCUUCCACUAUCUCUAUUUAAUAAUAAUAUAAACACUAUUACACCCAGUACUUUCCUCUACUAUCUCAAAUCUAUUAUUAAAUAUAAAUGGGUCCCACCACUAUACCCACUUUUCAUUUAACUUUACUUAUUUCUUACACAAUUUCUUGGUCUCCGUGUCCCAACCAUUUGUAUACAAAUGGUUGGGACGGAGGGAGUAGAUAACUAUAGUUUCAUAAUUUGUAUUCUAAGAUUUUUGUAUAAAGUUUAAACAUAAACUUUUAUUUAGAAGAAAAAAUAAAAUAAUUAAUAAAAUUAUACUUUUUAGGAGUCUUAAAAUCUGUCCUCAAAUAUAAAGAACUGAGGGGAACAAAUGAAAUACUAUUAUUUUUUUAUUUAAUUACUAAUAUUAUAUCAAUAAACCGAUUGAUCUUAACAAUCAUUUUGAAUAUAUUUAAUAAAUCUCAAUAGUUUUUGAAUUAAGUUUUUUGUGAGAAAUUAAUAUAUAUAUAUAUAUAUAUCAUAAUUUUAUUUUAAACUCCUGACUUAUCAUAUUAAGUCAUAUUUCAUAAUUUUGAAAUCAACAUGUUUUUGAUAUUGCAGGACAGUACAGCUUGAACAUACUUCUACCUAUACUGUAUUUCUUAUCAAUAUAUUAUAUUAAUUUUAGAAUAUUAAAUUUUAGAAUAAAAUAUAAAAUAGAAGAUUAAAAUUAGAAAAAAUUAAUAUUUCAUUCAUGAAAUUCAAAUAAAUGAUGGAUAAACAAUUUAAUAUAGGAAACUAGAAUUCUUAACAUUUUAAAGUAUUACUAUGAUAAUAUUCUCAUUUUAUAAAUUCAGUUCGACUCGAGUCAGGAGUAGAAAAUGCUUUCAGAUUCAGAUCAAUGAUACCUUGUAUAACAGAUAAUUCAAUAGAUUAUAUCAGGAGCAUUUUCUGUUAAAAUUGGUUUCAGAUUCAAAUCAAUGAUGCCUUGUAUAAUUAUCAAAAAAAAAAAAUGAUGCCUUGUAUAACAGGUAAUUCAAUAGAUUAUGGGGCCGUUUGGCUGAGCUUAAAAUAAGUGCUUCUUGCUUAAAAUAAAAAAGUGAAAUAAAAGUUAGAAGUUAGUUAAGACUUAUAAGUGAUUAAAGUGUUUGGCAAAAAAGUAGAAGUCAUGAAACAAAAACUAGGAAUCGUAGCUUUUUUUAAGUGCUUCUCGACUUUUUACACAAACGGUACGAAUAAGUGCUUCCAACUUAAAAGUCCAGACAAACACCCACUAUAUCCUCCGCUCGAUGGUAUGCGUUUACUGUGGAGAGCCCAUCUUCAAUGGAUCCAGCUGCUCAUGUACAGAAAGAUAUUGCAAUUAUGUAUAUCGGAUCCAACAACCAACCCAAAAAUACUAUCAAAAACGCUCUUUGUCACGUGAGAUGUUACAGUAAUAGUUUAAUAUUGAAAAGAUGUGACCAAUUUUACACGACCACAAGGUGAUGAAUAAGUUCAACGAUCAAAAAAGUUUUGAUUCUGACAAAAUAUAUAUUAAAUUUUAUCGUUCACAAUUAAUUUUAAAGAUAUAAAAUAAAUAGAUAUAAUUUUAAUAAUUACAGCACAAUCAUACAAUGCAGAUUGCAGAUCGAUGAGGAGUACUUGAUUAUAAGGUUCACUGUCGAACAAGACUUUACCUAACUCAUAACGCGGAGUUUGGAACGUUUCGAGGUUUUUCAACCAAGAUAACAAUUAGGGAUAGCAACAAGUUGGAUCGGUUCGGAUAUUUGAGAUAUCCAAAUCCAAAUCCAAAUUAUUUUUAAAAUCCAAAUCCAAUCGGGUUUCAGAUAUCAAAUCCAAAUCCAAAUCCACGGGUUUCGGAUCGGGUUCGGGUUUGUUCGGGUUUAUCCAAAACCUGAAUUCCGAAAUUUAUAUAGUAUUGUAAAAAUAUUAUUUUUGAUUUUUUCGCCUUUAAAUUUCAUUAUAUUUAAAACUAAACUACUUUAAUAAUAAAGUAUUACACAUUAAUAAAAUGUUGAAACAUAUUUAAUAAUUUCUAAACACAAAUCUUCACUAUAUGGAGUAUGAAAUUUUAAAGUAAUUCAUUAGUUAAACAAAAAAAGUCACUAUAACCCAAGAAUAUACACAUUCACACUCUACCUAUGUGUGUAUAAACAAAAUUUAGUAGAUUUAAAAUUUAAAAAAAGUGUAUUAGUAUACAUAUACAUAUACAUAUAUAUAUUUGGAUUUUUUUUCGGGUUUCGGGUUUGGAUCGGAUUCGGAUUUCGGGUCGGGUUUCGAUACGGAAUACCUAGUAUCCAAAUCCAAAUCCAAACUCGUUCGGGUCUAAAAAUCAAAUCCAAAUCCAAAUCCAAAAUAUCGGGUUCGGUAAGAUCCAUUCGGACCGAAACGGUCGGGUAUCCAUUCGAAUCGGUUUUUUCUGGCAUCCUUAAUAACAAUUAGGUUACGUAAUGCGAGGAAACAAACAAAUAUAAUGUGGAAAUAAUAUUGCCCGCAUGGAAAUGGAAUUCUAACAGGAAAUACCCUAAAGCAAAUCUGUAGACUAUUACUUCCAGCGGUCUUCCAUGGAACUUACAUGUGCGUUCAGUAUAUUCAACUAUAUAUAUUCCAUAUGCGCAAAGACACGUGAAGAAAAGGUAUGAUAGUAAACAAAAUAUCUGUACAAUAGAUAUUUAAGACAAAGAUGUUAAAAAAUAUAAGUGCAAUAUAUGGGUUUCAAUUUAAGUAUUUUAUUUUAAAAGUUUUUAAUUAUUAUAUGUUUUAUGGGUUUUCAAAUAAUUUUAAAAUAAAAUAAAUAUAAUUUUUAUAAUUUUAUAUUGAUUUAUAUAUUAAAAACUAAUAUUGUAAAAGUUAGUUUAGCAUAUAUACCUAAUGAAAAUCGAAUUUUAGUUUUUUAUAACAUUCUCGUGAGUUGAAAAAUUCAACAAUUACAAUUAGAAUCUGUCAAAAAAAAAAACAAUUACAACUAGAAGGAAUAACUAAAAAUAGGAAUAAUCGAAUCAUAAAUAUACGACAUUUCAUUAUUAUAUUUUUAAACAAAGACGACAACUGCGUUACGUAAUGCGAAGUAGCAAACAAAUAUAAUGUGGAAAAUUGGUGCCCGCAUGGAUCAACACGAAAAAUUAAGGCUAUAAACACUGGAUAUACAAACCGUAAAGCUAGUAAGAGCAUCUCCAACGGCGUUGGCUAUAAUCGUUGGCUAAAUUAGACCUGUAAGACAUUAUGUAAAAUUUGCUGAACCUGCAAGACAUUUUGCUUCAAUGGUACUGGCUAUAUUGGUUGGCUAUAAUUUAAAAAUAGUAUGUUAUUAAUAUUUUAAAUUGUUAAAAUAGAAUAUAUCAGUUCAAUAUGGUAAUAAAUGAUGUACAAUCUUCCUACAGAUUUUCUUACAGACCUGUAGAGGUUCGACAAAUUUAGCCAUCCAUAGGAGGUUGGCUAAAUAUAUAGACAAUAGGUGAGCAUGGUUGGAGUUGAGUUUUUGGAGCUGUUGGCUAAAUUUUUUUAUUUUAAGUAAGCCAACUCACUUUUUAGCCAAGGGCUUUAGAUGGUUGGAGAUGCUCUAACCGUCGUAAUAAGCUAUUGCAACGUGCUGUGUUGAAUAUAUUCGAUUAUUUGAUUGCCAAUUUGAAAACCACUAGCUGGUACUCCCUCCGUCCCUUCCAUUUCUUUACACUUUCUUUUUUGGGUGUCCCAUCCAAUUCUUUACAUUUCAAAACUUACCCAAAAUAGUCAAUGGAUCCCACCACUUCUUCACUUUUCUUUCCUUUUCACACUACUAUUAUUCCACUAUCUUCUUUUUAUACAUUAAAAAUCAAUGGGUCUCACCACUUCACCCACUUUUCUUUCUCUUUUCCACUACUUUAUACAUAUUUCUUAACCUCCGUGCCCAACCCAAAUGAUAAGAAUUGGGAGGGACGGAGGGAGUAAGUGACAAAGAAAGUUUCUUAUGUUAAGGUUUGACCGUAAAUAUAAGGUUAGUUGCAUGUAUUUAUUAUUUUAAAUAUAACCUUUUUAUUAAUAAAUUAAAAAUAAAUUUAUAUAACUUUUCUCAAAAUUAUUGAUAAUCUUAAGAUAUCCCAACAUUAAAUCAGAUUUUUGUAAUAAAUUAUAUUGUGAAUAUAAUUUUAAAAUCAAAUUUAUGUUUAAAUUUGAGUUGUUAAAUUUUAUAUAAAUUUAUAUCAUCAUACAUAAUAUUCUAUAUUAAAAUCAAAUUCUAUAUAAAUCAUUGAAAAUUAAUAUAAAACAAUAUGAUUAUACAAUAGAAUAAUCAAAAUUAUUCAUGACGAUUUAACACAUCUAAAAUGGAAUUUUUGAUUGUUAAGAUUUUAAAAAAAUUCUGAAAUAUAAAAUUUUAUAUAAAUUAAUCAAAAUUAUGAAUAGUUUAAUAUAAUAAGAUGAAGAAUGAACGAACCCUUCUCGUCUUUAAACUGCACCGCAGUAUAUAUGACCUUACGAUUAUAUAUGCAUUGGCUUACACCACAAGUUGGGUGUAAUUUUGAAUUAAACUGCAUAACCCCAAGUUAUAAUAACUUUUGAAUUUAUUAUAUCCAAUGUAGAUUACACUACACAACGAAGGAAGUAAUAUUUCUGAUUCAAUUUUAAAAGCAAAAGAAAGUAUAUAAUUCUGGUCAUUAUGUACUUAAUUAGUCCUGGUGAUGUCGCUUGCUGACCAGCUGCCCAGACUUUUUGCUCGUCUGUGUAGAAAAUAUUGUUCUGUGAUCGUGGCCAUCCAGCUGCAAAUUCACAGAACCACGAGAACCGGUAGAUAUUAUUAAUCAAAAUAUCAACUUAAAUUUUAUUUCAGAACCACUAAAAAUGGACCGAGAUCGAUAUCAGCAAAUUUAGGCCUAUAUAUAUCCCGUUCGCCUGCCCCCCUCAUACAUAGUCCAUUAGUUUCCUUAUAAGUUAUACAUAGUUAUACAAUAGUUCAAUAUGGCAGGGCAGACUCUCUUGGCUCUUUCAUUCGCUGCACUUCUGUUGAUCGGUAAGUUUUCGCGUUUAUAUUUUUGUCCACGAAUAUAUUUAUUUUUAGCAAGUUAGCGUUAGCUUUCGGCAAAUAAACCAAACUUGAAACUGGGCACACUUUCAGGCGGUGAAUCGGCAACAUUCACAAUCAAAAACAACUGUCCCAUGACAAUCUGGCCAGCUGCAUUCACCGGGGAGGGAUCACAGCCAUCAACAACAGGGUUCGAACUAGCUUCACAGGCAUCGAAUACUAUCGACGUUCCAUCUCCAGCAAAAACUUCGGGAAGAAUAUGGGCUAGAACUUACUGCACAGCCACUUGCCUUACCGGAGAGUGCGGACAAGGAGGCGGACCCUGCAGUGGAGCUACCGGUGUUCCACCAGCAACCCUAGUUGAAUUCACAUUAAACGACAACGGUGGACUGGACACCUACGACAUCAGUAAUGUUGAUGGUUCUAACUUGCGUGUUACUCUAGCACCUGAUAACUCGGCAUGUGUGACAACCAGCUGCCUGGGUGAUAUAAACGCAGACUGUCCUGCAGAUCUGGCGAGAAAAUCUGGUAGUGAAACAGUGGGAUGCCUUAGCGAUUGUGCGGCCUUAAAUAGACCAGAAGAUUGUUGCACUGGUGCGUUUAAUACUACACAAACAUGCCAGCCAUCAAGGUCGGCAAAUUACUUUAAAGAAAAGUGUCCACAGGCUUAUGGCUAUGCUUUCCAUGAUCAGAGUAGCACCUUCACUUGCGCUACCGGAACUAACUACCAAAUCACAUUCUGUCCGUGAAAACUACUGAAUUUAAGUUGAUAUGUCAAGCGCAAACUAAAUAAAUUGCUCCCACUUAAUUUCUAGGUACUACAAUAAGAGAGCAAUAACAUUGAAUAAGUGAUGUACACUGUUUUACCUUUACUGAUUGUCUCCACAAUAUUUUAUACCUAUGCCUCUUUCCUUGUCUUCUUAUUUGUAAGAAUUUUAUUUUUGUUGGUUAAAUAUUUUUAUAAGAGUUGCGCGUGACUCGAGUGAAAUAUGUCAUUUUAUAAGAGAUUCACAUGACUAGUAAAAUAUGUUAUUUAUUUAUCAUUGAUAUGUGAUUCUAGGUAUUUUAAAAAAUUUAUGUGCUAUCACAUAUCUUCCAAAUUUCUUCAAAGAGUUUCUAAAUAUUAAAAUAUGAAAAUUAUAAAUAAUAAUAAUUUUAAUAAUAAAACUAGAUAUCAUAUUUUUUUAUAUAUACACGUUCACAAAUGAAAAUAAUUAUAUAUCACCUUCUGUCAUGCCAGAUAACUUCUGAAUUUCUAGUAAUAAUACUACAUCACAUUUAUAUACGUUCACAAAUAAAAAAUAAUUAAUUAUUUAUCAUUUUAAUUAUAUGAUUAAAAAUAAUCGAGUUGAAUGCCUAACACUACCCUUCCCAGCAAAAGACAACGUGACGUAGUGCAAAGGAAUAUAAUGUGGAAAAUUGUUGCACGCAUGGGAAUGGAAUGUGAAAAAGGGAAAUUAAGGUUGUAAGAACCCUAGAUCGAGCACCUUUCAUAGUAGUAAGCUGGCACUGGUCCUACAUGUAAGGUGUUGCGUUCAGUACUAUACAACUAUUUAAAUUGCAAAUGCACGACUCUACAUGGCACGCGGGGAAAAAGGUACAAACAUAAAUAUUUGUAAAAAUAGAUUUUUAAGAUAAACACGGUGUAAUAAAUUUUCUUUUAACUUGUUAUGGCCUGAAUGGAUAAUUUUCCAUUUUUUUUAAAAAAUAAUGACUUCGAAUAAAUGACAUAUUUUGAUGACUAAAUUUAAUUUAAAUUUCAUUUGGAAGCUACAGUAAUUAUAUUUGAAUACUAAUUAUGUAUAAUUUAUAGAAGAAUUAUACUAAAUCUACUCUUUAGUUGCGAAUUAAUAAAGUUAAGCAUGACUUUCUGUAUAAUUAACUUUUCGAUUUGUAGACGCGCGUUAUGGAGAAAUAAUAACUUCAGUUAAACCAUGUAUUAUUUGCCCUCAACAGAAAAACUAAGCAAGUUCUAAUUUAUAAUAAAUAUAAAUUUGUUAGAAGGUCUAUUUUAUAUGCAACCGCAAUGCAUGCGUGGUUCGUCUUACGAAGCUAGAGUCUAAACGUCGAAAAUAAAAUGAAGUAACUGAAAGGCUGAUCAUAACUUGGAUCCAUUUAAUCUUACAUCCACAUAUUUGCAUAAUUCGUUGACAAACAUCACUUUGCUCUUGCUAAAUAUAUAUGAUCGAAAAUCAAGUCAUAUGUUGUUCUCUAUUUCUUAACGUACGAGGUAUAUGGAAGAAUAGUAUAACUAGGUCGAUAGAUGAGGGCUGCCUAGACUGUUUCAAGUUCCGUGGCUAGAAUUUGUUAGUUGAAAAUUGUAUAGAGACUGGUGAUCCCGCCCUGCUGGUCUCAACUGCGAGGAUUGCAGCAACUAAGGUCUCAAGUUUGCAGCAGCCAAUAAAAUGGUUUCAUCAUUCUGCACGUCUCUACAUUUUGGGCCUAUAUAAACCCUCCUAUGCCCUAUCUUAUACCAUAUCAUUGUUCAUCUCAUUUCUAAAUAUAUCAUCACCUACAUAUAUACAAGAUGGAAUUGCAGACUCUCUUCGCUUUUUAUUUUGCUGCCCUUCUGUUAGUUGGUAAGAUUCGGCAUUCUUAAACAUUUUUCAUUAUAGGGUUUUAAUUAGUUGCACUUGGCUUAUAAUGAGGAACAAACUAAUCUUUUUAGUAGCUAAAUUUGAGCUAGCUCUUGUGAAGAGUUUAUCCUCUCUCGUCUCAGGUUCCGGGUUCGACCCUGAUAUAUUGAUAAUCUGAUUGAUUUUAAUUAAUAUUGUACUCUUUUCAGGUGGCGAGUCAGCGAUAUUCACAAUCAGAAACAAUUGCCCAAACACAAUCUGGCCAGCUGCACUAACUGGUUCUGGAUCACAGCCAUCAACCACAGGGUUCGAACUCGCUUCACAAGCCACAAACACUAUCAACAUUCCAGCUCCAUGGUCCGGAAGAAUCUGGGCUAGAACAUUCUGCACUGCCACUUGCCUUACCGGAGAGUGUGGUCAAGGCGCGGGACCAUGCAAUGGCGCUGGCGGCGCUCCACCAGUAACCCUAAUCGAAUUCACAUUAAACGGCGACGAUGGAAAGGAUUUCUACGACGUCAGCAACGUUGAUGGUUUCAACUUGCCUGUUAGUGUAGUGCCCGAAAACUCAGCAUGUCCAACAACAAGCUGCGCCGCGAAUAUAAACGACGGGUGUCCAGCUGGACAGGAGGUGAGAGGUCCAGAUGGUGCUACAGUCGGCUGCAAGAGUGCUUGCGCCGCCUUCAACAAACCGGAAGAUUGUUGCACCGGUGAAUUUAAUAGUCCAGAUACAUGCAAGCCUUCAGCUUCUUCGUUGUACUUCGAAGGGAAGUGCCCACAGGCUUAUAGUUAUGCUUAUGAUGACAAGACUAGCACCUUCACUUGCCCUACUGGAACUAACUACCAAAUCACAUUCUGUCCUUAAUUAAAAGGUCAAUAUAAAUUGACAUGUUAUGUUAUCUAUUUCUCACACACUAGAUAAGGUGCUCUCCCUUUUCUAGGGGUAAUGCAAAUGUAAGAGUGCUAUAAUAUUGAAUAAGUGAGAUGAAUAAACAUUGUACCUUUUGCUGUAUUGUCUCCAUUACAUGCAUGCAUUUGCCUAAAAAUUAGUAAUAUUUUGUAUUUUUGUUUUUCUCCCCACCAUCAGAAAUUUCUAUAGAUGAUCAUUUCCGAGUAGAAAAGAUUUAAAUAUUAAUAUCAACUCAUUCGUCCUUUUUUUUUUUUUUAAUAAUUGUUCUCCUUUUUUAAGUUGUGUGGCAUAUAUCUUUCUAACAUAUUUAUAAUUCUUCGUGCAAUCUAUUAUAGUAUGUUGUUUUCCCGCCAAAAUUAUUGUUUGUAAAAAGAAUAAAGUAUCAAUUAAGUAUAUAUACCAGCUUGUAAAAAAGACAUAUGUUCCCUAUUAUAAAAUUUGUUAACUCACUUUUGAGCUAUAUAUGGAUUAUAUAUGCUAUUAUUAUUGAUUUAUCACUAAUAUUCAGGUCAUGACCAGCUACAAUUGUUAAUAACAAGUACUUACGUUUGGGGAUUUUGUUACACAUUUUGGAGAUAUCUCCCUAGUUCAGAGAAAUUUCUUUUCUCUAUGAAAAAAACAUCUCUCCAUUUUCGAUGCAAUAACUAUAUUGUGUCGUGUAAACACAAGAUUAAAAUUGAGUUUUAAUGUUGGAAUCAAUAUUAACGACUUUUGGCUUACCUAUAAGGAUCAAUAUAAGUAGUUCUUGAAAAGAAGGGAACCAGGAUUUUUACCCAAAUGAUCCGGAGCCCAAGAUAGCAAGGGUGUAGCCAUAAAGCCCAAAGAACUUCCAGAUAGCCCACCAGAAUAUAGAAUCGAUGCAUGCGACCAUAUUCGAAUUAAUCAUGGGAAGACUUUCUCCACAUUUGAGCCCUAGAGGAGUAUAAUUACCUAAACACAUGAUCGUUGAAGAUGAUAGAUCGUCAUACUCCGAAAAUCAUAAAUCAUCAAAUAAAUUCCGAUUAACUUUAAUCUUUAGAUAAACUCCGAUGUUCUUCAUUCAUCAGAUAGCUAAAAAUUAACAUUUGGUGACCUUCAUUCAUGUUUUCAGCGGAGCUUUCGAUUGCUAUGCGUUGCUUGGCUUAGUUUAAAAUUAUGACUUAUGACUCUUUUGAUCUUUAUUACUAUGUAAUAUUUUUGACAAUUUAUUGUAAAUAUAAAGUACAUUCUUUAAUUUAUAAAUAAUAUUUUGACGUGAAAGUGUUAACAUGUUACAUAUAAUAAUGUUAAUAUUUUUUUAAUAUUAGUUAGAUAAUGUGUUUAUUACGUUUUAUAGUACGUACCUAUAGAACCAAUAUUGAUUAUUUUUGAAUCGAAAGUCCGUAUAUAAUUUUAGCGAAUUUUCUCAAUUGACACUUAGUUUAUUCACAAAAGUAUUAUUCUAAACAACUGCUGUAUAUUCAAAUUUGCAAGAAAAACCGGUGCAAUGUGAAACAUAAUCGUCAUUAACAUAGUCGUAGCAGUCAUUUUCUUGAAAACUAGUCUCAGGUCUGCUUUCGUCGCCUAACGACCAAAAGUCCAGAUUCAUAGUCUCGUCAUUAUAUAUUUCAUAGAAGUCUAAUUUAUAACCGGCAGUGCGUAAUACAUCCGAACCAGGGCCGUCCGAGACUUUUUUGAGGCCCUGUGCUAACGUUAAGAAUGAGGCCUUCCAAAUAAAAAAACAAAAUUUUAAUAUAUUUAAAAUAACAAAAUAUCAUAAACAAAAUUGUACUACUACAAUUGAAAAAUUGUUUUUUUUUUGGGUAGUUAAACUUAAAUAUGUGUGUGGCCGUGUAGGAUUUACUGCUUGUACAGUGUACUAAUUAGUGUUUAAAUAAAAUAAUGAUAAAAAUUAAAGAGAUUAAUUUAUCAUGAGUAUACUAAAAGAUAAAAAGAAGUAUUCAUAAAUUGGGGGCCCUAAAUUUCUAUGGGCCCUGUGCUGUUGCACUUGGUGCACUUGCUCAAAACCGGCCCUGAUCCGAACUUUGAUGUGUGAAAAUGUAAAUGAUGGGUAACUUAUAUAUGAGACUGUAAUUGCUCGAACCAAAUUCAUGCAUCAAUUGAUUAAAAUUCUAUAUAUCAUAUAUAGUGAUACAUCUCAAUGUGAACUAUAACAGUGCAUGCAUCAAACCAAUUCAAGAAGCGGCUGUGCAUAGAAUUAGGGCUGUGAAACGGAUAAUUCGGAUACGGAUCUGCCUGUAUCCGAAUCCGGAUCCGGAUCCGAAAAUCCAUAUCCGUAUCCGGAUCUGAAUCCGAAAUUUUUUAAAGGAUAAUAUCCGAAUCCGGAUCCGACGGAUACUAUCCGGAUUCGGAUAAUAUCCGGAUCCGAAUCUGAUUUUUAACCAGAAAUUUUAUUUUUCUAUUAAAAUUUCUAAAAAUCAUAAAAAAAUAGUAAAAAUUAAAAAUUAAUUUUUAAAAACUGAUUAAAAAAAUUAAAAUCAUUAAAGAAGGUUUAUAUUAAUUCAAAAAUUGAUUCUUAUUUAUCUAUUAAUAUAAAUUUGUUAUCUUUAAAAUAUUAAACUCAAAUAAAAUUAUGAUAUAUGUCUAUAAUAUUUUAAAAUUAUACAAAAUUUAUAUAAAUAUAUUAUUUUAUGUAUACAUAUAUAAAUACACACAUUAUAUAGUUAUUGAAUAAUAUUAAUAAUAUAUAAUAUUUAAUAUCAUAUAUAUUUAAUUUCGGAUGCGGAUAUUAUCGGAUACGAAUAUGCCUAUAUCCGUAUCCGUAUCCGGAAUUGUCGGAUUCGGAUGCGGAUAAUAUCCGCUUUGUCUCGGAUACGGAUAAUAUCCGCUUUAUCUCGGAUACGAAUGCGGAUUUUUCGGACGGAUAUCGGAUUUUUCGGACUUUUUUGACAGCCCUACAUAGAAUAGUGAAACACAAAAAAAGGAAAUGCAGGUAAUCAAAUUAAUAUAGUUAGAUUACUUAGCUCCUACUCAAUAUGAUCGAAUAACAAGUCAAGAGAAUACAUGGUUCUCGAUGCUACGUACGUAAUAGUCUGAUUAACUAUCGAACGAACAACGCAUAUAUAUAUCUGGGAAUGGUAUAAGCCGAUAAUAAGGCCGGCUGCCAAGACUUUUUGAACUUCCGUGGCUAGCUAAAAUUAGUUGUUAUGUGGAAAAUUGUAUAGACAAGUAAUUACCCCGCCCUAUCUAUAUGGUCUUAGCCAGCCAAGUGUGAUUCAUUGCAGCAAUCUAGUAAGCUCUGAAAUUUCAAGCGACCAAUAAAAAUGGUUACUUCAUUUCGCACGUCUUCAGAUUUUAGGCCUAUAUAAACCCCCUCAGGCCUCUGCUAUUUGCUCAUACCACAACAUUCAUCGUAUUAUCAGCUCUCAGUAUAUAUUUCAGUAUGGCACUGCAAACUCUUCUCGCUUUUUCAUUUGCUGCCCUUCUAUUGGUUGGUAAGAUUAAUUCGAUCUUCAUUCUCAUAAAUUCAUAUCUUAUAUUUGUUCUCAAAUUCAGUUAAAUAUAUCAGAAAUUAUUAUAUAUUUUACUGAUCUUAACAUUGCACGAUUUGCAGGUGGUGAGGCCGCAAAAUUCACAAUCGUAAACAACUGCCCGAACACAAUCUGGCCAGCUGCCCUAACCGGAACUGGAUCACAGCCAUCAACCACAGGCUUCGAACUCGCUUCCAAAGCCUCAAAGCCCAUCGACAUUCCAGCUCCCUGGUCCGGAAGAAUCUGGGCCCGAACAUUCUGCGCCGCCACUUGCCUAACAGGAGAGUGCGGCAAGGGCACCGGCCCAUGCAGUGGUGCUGGGGGCGCUCCGCCAGUAACCCUAGUCGAAUUCACAUUAAACGGAGACGGUGGAAAAGAUUUCUACGACGUUAGCAACGUUGAUGGCUUCAACUUGCCUGUUAGUAUAACACCAGAGAACUCACCAUGCGCAACCACAAGCUGCGCCGCGAAUAUAAACGAGGGGUGUCCGGCAGGGCAGGAGGUGAAGGGUCCAGACGGCGCAACCGUCGGCUGCAAGAGCGCCUGCGCCGUGACUAACAAGCCUGAAGAUUGCUGCACCGGUGAGUUUAACAAUGCGGAGAAAUGCAAACCAUCAGCUUCUUCCAAGUACUUCAAAGGGAAGUGUCCACAGGCUUAUAGUUAUGCUUAUGAUGACAAGAGCAGCACCUUCACUUGCCCUACUGGACCUAACUACAAAAUCACAUUCUGUCCUUGAACGGUCAAUAUAAAUUGACAUGUUAUGUUAUGAUGUAUUUCUUACAUACUGAAUAAGUUUCUCCCACUUUCGAGGGGCUACAAUAAGGGAGAAAUAGUAUUGAAUAAUAAAUAAAAACAUUGUAUCGGUGUUGUGUCGUUUCUAUUUGGCAAGAGUAUUUUAUUUUAAUACUAGUUGAUAGCCCGUGCCAAGCACGGGUUUAAAUAAAAUUUUAAAAUUUGUUAUUUAUUGGAAGAAUAAUGUCUUUUUUAAUUACAUUAUUAUAUUUUUAUUAUACCUAUUUAAAUUAUUGUUUUUAGAUGAUAUUUAAAUUAUUGUUAUUUAAUAUAAGACUUUCUAUAUAUUAAAAUUUGAUCAUACUUUAAAUUUAUUUCAUAAUAAUAUGAGUCCCUGUUCUAUGGAGUCCACAAAAUAAGAGUAUUGUUGUCCAAAAUUAUUUAAAAAUACUCUACUCGUUUCAAUUUUAAUUUUUUUAGUCUACAAUAUUUGUAAACAUCUGACAAUUUGCAGGUUAUAUUAUAAAUCACUAAACAUUAUAUAUGUUCUAAAAUAUAACUCAUAAGUAGAAUAAUGAUUUGAUAUCAAAUAUCUUGACGUAUGUCUAGAGUUUCAGUUAUUUUAUUAUAUGUUGCAAUAUGGAUAAUGACUUCAUUUUCUUUGAGUUUCUAUUUGUCUAGUCAGUGUUGUCACCACCGCCUUAUUCGUCUUUAUCGCAAUCUUUUGAAAAACACUAAAUGAUAAUAAUUAUUAUUAUUAAAAAAUAAAUGACCUAGUUUUUUGGUAUUUUGGUAUCAAUAUCGAAUCUUGUUUAUUUUAAUUCGGAAAUAUGAUUGAAAUUGUAUAGAUUUGUUUCGUAAAUUAAAUUGUAUGAGUUUUAAAAAUUAAAACGAAUAUUUGACGUAUGUCCAGAGUUUCAGUUCUUUUAUUAUAUGUGGCAUAUGGACAAUGACUUCAUUUUUUUUAAGUUUCCAUUUGUCAAGUCAGUGUUACCACCGCCUUAUUCGUCUUUAUCGCAAUUUUCUAAAAAACAUUGAAUGAUAAUAAUAAUUAUUAUUAAAAAAAAAUGACCAAGUUUUUUGGUACUUUGGUAUCAACAUCGAAUCUUGUUUAUUUUAAUUCUGAUAUAUGAUAGAACUUUUAUAGAUUUGUUUCGUAAAUUAAAGUGUAUGAGUUUUAAAAAUUAAAACGAAUAUUUGACGUAUGUCCAGAGUUUCGGUUCUUUUAUUAUAUGUUGCAAUAUGGACAAUGACUUCGUUUUUUUAAGUUUCCAUUUGUCAAGUCAGUGUUACCACCGCCUUAUUCGUCUUUAUCGCAAUCUUCUGAAAAACAUUGAAUGAAAAUAAUAAUAAUUAUUAAAAAGUAUAUGAUCAAAUUUUUUGGUACUUUGGUAUCAGUAUUGAAUCUUGUUUAUUUUAAUUAUGAAAUACGAUAGAUGUUUUAUAAAUUUGUUUCGUAAAUUAAAGUGUAUGAGUUUUAAAAAUUAAAACGAUCGAAUAAUUUCUCUGACAUUAUUAUUCUAUUGAUAGGAUAUUAUAUUAAUAUCAAUAUGAACUCCUUAUUUAUUUGAACACUGAAGCAUGAUAAAAGAUUUAUAGAGUUGUUAUGUAUAUUAAAUUAUUUGAGUUUUAAAAAAUUAAAACAAAUAAUUUUAUCGGUAACAUAUUUUUAUUAGUAAGAUAAUUGUUAUAAUACAAAAUCCUGUCAAAUAUUGAAGUUUUUUUAUAAUAGUAAUAAUUGUUAAAUAAAAACUAAUACGAUGAUAGCCAAUUUUUGAUAUGAAUUUUAUAGGACUGUUUCAUAAGUUAAAUUGUUAGCGAUUCAACGGUGCGAAUUGGAUAAAUGUUAUAUUACAAAAUCCUAAACACCACAGAAGUCUUUUUUAUAGUAGUAUAAUAAUCUUAACCAAUAUUGAAAUUUUUAUUAAUGAAAUCCGAAUCAAUAUAGAAGUCUUUUCAUAAUUGUAUAAUAAUAAUUAUAAAAUCCUAAAAAUAUAUAAUAAUAAGUAUAAAUUCCUAAUAAUAUAAAUUUUUUUCAUAAUUCUAUAAUGACUGUUGUUAUUAAAUAAAAUAUUUAUAUUACAUUGUCCUAAUCAAUAUUGAAGUUUUUAAUAAUAAAAUUCUGAUCAAUACAGAAGUCUUUCAUUGUCCUAAUGAAUAUUGAGGUCUUUAAUAAUAAAAUUCUAUUCAAUAUAAAAGUCUUUUAAUAAUAAUAUAACAAUGACUAUAAAAUCCUAAUCAAUAUGAAAGUGACCAAAUUUUGGUACUUUUGGUACCGAUGUUCCACCGAAAAGUGGUUUCGCUUAUUAAUAAAAGGUAUUGAAGUGAUUCCUCUUUUAUUGAAUGACAGAGUGUUCUUGCAAACAUGAAAAACACCAUACGUAAUUUUUGACAAAGGGUAUAUUAUCCAUAGCUAAAAUAACGCGUGUAAAAGAAAUGGAAAUAUAAUACUUUCAAAAUAAGAACUAAAAGUGACCCCGUGCUAAACUAAUGAAAACUCCACCUUAAAAUCGUGAAAAAUAGAGCUUUUUUACCCCACGGAUAGAGAUUAUGAGUAUCUUAUUUACUGUCCUUGUGAUAAAUACGACUCUUACUUCUCAAAUUAAUAAACUACUUUCUCUUAUUUUAAACUACUUGCUCUAUCUUAUACCGUUAAUUAAAUUGACCCAUUUGAUUCUAAUUAAAAUUCAUAAAUGUGAAAUAGUUGAGAAAAAAAUUCAAAAUUAUAUUAUCAAAGAAUAUACGUAACAUACUUUAAAUUGUUGUAUAUUUUAGACGUGAGAUUAUCGAGAACGUUAUCAUUCUAUUGCUGAAUAAACAAUAUUGAAAACAUAAAAUAUUUACAAAACAACACUUGCGCAUUUUUGGAAAAGUUUAUGAUAAUUAUCCUCAAAAUUCUCAUCUAUAAUUUUUUUCCUCACCUAAAUUACUGUUUUAUUAAAUUAUAUCAAUGCGACUCUUUAAUUUCGGUAAACUGGGUCACAUAAAAAAUAGAAACAUAACAAAUAAUCUGGUAAGCGGAGGUUAUGAGAUAAGUUAAUAAAAUUUUAUCAUGCAGUGAACGUACUAUUUCAUAUAGCUGGCAUAAACGAAAAGCAGUUUUUGAAUAAGAAAAGUACUCUAACCUACAUAUCAUCAGUUGGCCCCCAUUAGCCAUCGAAAUCGCACAUUUUUUAUCACAAUAUAUUUUGAAAAUUAAUUUCAUUUAAUAUUCUCUCACAUUUUGUCCAGAUCAUAUUGUACGUAGCACUGGUGAUGUCAUUGACUACCGACCUGCUGAUUGCACAUGUGACCGGAGUCCGGACUCUAAUGGUCCCCGCGGUCCAGCUUCAAUUGCAGAACCACUAGAACUGUAGAUAUUAUAUAAUUGCCGACUCGAAAUAUAUGUAUUAACCCUACAAUUAUAAUUUGAACCACUAGUUAAAUUUGAUUGAAGAUAUUAUGAAAUUAUCAACAGAAUACACACCAUUUCAGAACCACUAGAAUUUGUUGGAGAGAACAACAAUUUAAGGGCUAUAUAAGCCCUACUUCGUACCCUCUUACCAAUCCACAUUCGUCAUUGUAUUUCUGUAAACACAUUUACGUACAUGCGCCUGAAUACAUGGCACGGCAAAUUCUCUUCGCGGUUCCAUUCGCUGUACUUCUGUUAAUUGGUAAGAUCUUGCAUAUAAUAUUCGAUCAAUUAACAUUUUCUAUAGCUAAUUAUACUUAAGGUAUAGUAGUAUAUGCAGCUGCGUGUACUUUUUAUUGUCUUAUCAAGUGACGCCAGCUGCUUGUUUUUUUCCUUCUUUUUUUAGCAAGUUACCGUUAGCUCAUGUACUCCCUCCUCUUCUACAUAUCCAUUUUUAAAAUAAAUUUUAUCUCUAUUUACAUGUUCAUUUAUACUUUCAAAACAAAUUUAAUGGUGGUUUUUCAAAUCCAUCCCUCUAAUUUCUACUUCCAACUUCCAAGGCUUAACUUAUACUACCUCCAUCCCAAAUUAGAUGAUCCCGUUUUGGGCACGUAAUUUUAGGUGCAUUGACUGUCUACUUCCGAAAUCUAUUUUUUUAUUUUUUCUUUUGUAAAUAAAAAAUUUAUAUUUUAAUUUUUAUUUACAAAAAUAAAAUUUUAAAAAUAAGUCAUAUAGCUAUACGGUGUGUCCAAAGUCAACGGGGUCAUCUAAUUUGAGAUGGAGAGAGUAUAUAAUUUGAUUGAAUUCACGUUUUCAGGACACUAAUUAGGAGUAUUCCAUCAUUUUCAAAACAUUAAUUAAAGUUUAUACAAUAGUUAUUGGGGAUGGGGAGUAUUUAAGUUACCUAACUAAUAAUCUUUCGGCAAAUAAACCAAACUUCAAACUGUGCAUUUCAGGUGGUGAAUCGGCAACAUUCACAAUCACAAACAACUGUCCCAUGACAAUCUGGCCAGCUGCAUUCAGCAAUAAGGAAUCACCGCCCUCAAAAACAGGGUUCGAACUAGCUUCACAGGCAUCAGAUACUAUCGACAUUCCAUCAACAGCAAAAACUUCCGGAAGAAUAUGGGCUAGAACAUACUGCACUGCCACUUGCCGUACAGGAGAGUGUGGCCAUGGUGGGGGAGCCUGCAGUGGAGCCACCGGUGUUCCACCAGCAACACUAGCUGAAUUUACAUUAAACGACAACGGUGGACUGGAUACCUACGACAUCAGUAAUGUUGAUGGUUUUAACUUGCGUGUUAGUCUAGCACCUGAAAACCAAGCAUGUUUCACCGCCAGCUGCUCCGGUGAUAUCAAUGCAGACUGUCCUGCAGAUAGGGCAAUAAAAGUUCCAAGUGGUAGUGACACAGUGGGAUGCCUUAGCGAUUGUGCGGCCUUAAAUAGAC